GAGGAGAGGACACGGAGACAUGUCCAGGUCGAGUUGUGCGAGAAAUAAGAGGAAGAGGAAGAAAGAAAAGGAGGGAGACGAAUUAAAUAUUUUGUUAACUUCAUCAUGUGUGUCUAUUUACUAGAUAUUUAAUUUAAUUUAAUGCGAUUUCAGCUGUGUUGAUUCGGUCAGGUUGUGUGUCCAAACAUGUGCCAAACGCGCUCAUCAGAUCAGAUAUAGAUCAGAAUAUAUCUAUAUAGAUCUAAAUGUAUGUGCUGACUCAGAUUAAUAGUUGUUGAUGAUUAUUUAUUGCACUGAAGUGUUCCUGACUCUGUGGAAACCUGCCGGUGAGGCAUCGGUGACGUAUGCCGAUACGCCUUCGGUCUACCAAAAUACCACUAGACCAGCUGAACUCCGCCUGCGCAGAAAGCUGACCAGGUUUAAAUCGGCGAGCUUUCAGCGCACUUUACAUGCCGGUGGCGAGCACGAAAAUGUCACUGUGCCAGCUGAUUCUGUCGACACCUCCCCCUGCCACACCACGCUGCCCAGCUUGGCGGACCUCGGUGCGCCUCAGUUCACGAGAAUACCGAACUGGCUGUGCGCUGGGCGGGGUCAGCCACCCUCCACCGCGUCCCCGGCAGACACGAAAAUAGAGCCCUUUGUGUUUUAGAGGUCAAAGGUUGGAUCGCAGCUCAGUGAAGUCAUCAAGAUCAAUGAUACGAUCCGUGUUUGUGGUUUACAAAUGAGGAUAUGUUGUCAAGUCAUCUUCUUUUACCAAAAACAAAUCAGCAUCUUAAAAAGUGCAAGCACCCACUUUUGUCUUGGCUAUAAGUAUGGUUCAAUAUGUCUAAACUUGAGAUUUUUAAAAUGAUUUAUGAUAAAGAAUUGAAGAACUCUGGAAAGAAGAUACUCAAUGAAACAGGUUCGACCUUUUGUAUUUUAAUCCACACUGAGUGUCCUGGGUCUCACUGGAAUGGCUACAGUGGAUGUACUUUUUAAGACUUACAGAGAGUAAUGAACAUGCUGGACUGAUGCUGAAUUAAACUGGGUUAUCAAAGCUAACAGAGCAGGGAAUAUAAACACGUGGUUUCUAGCAGAGAGUUGUUUAUUUGAGCAGUAAAAAUGACACAGAUCAGGGAGCAUGGAGAAAACUUGGAGAAAUUUAUUGCUGUUAAUACAUUCAUGACAUGAAAAAUGUCAGGAAUUCCUCCCACUUCUUUGCUGAUUCUUAAAAAACACAUAAAAGGUCUGUACUUUUACAUCAUUCAUUUUGAAUACCAGACAUAAAUUUCAUAGGCAGUUUAGGUUGAAGGAAAAACAUCUUUCUCCCUAUAGCUUCCUUUUCCUCAGGCUAUCGUAAGCAUUUCCUCUUGUUAUAUCUCUAAUCUCCAUCAAAUCUUGUUUGUUGCUGCUUUUGUGGGAGGUUUGAGUCAUCCUUGUCACUCUCCUAACACUCUGCCUCCAGGGGACAAUUAGGAUCCUUUUAUGUUGUUAUAGCUUAUCUCAUCAACCUCCCCUCCAUUGGUCCUUCUUUUUGGACUCAUAACACACACACACACACGCGCGCACACACACUCACAUAUCAACACACACAAACAGAUGAUAAAAUGAACACACACGGUUCAUUAACUCUACCAGUCUCCCAGGAGCCUCCUGCAAUUGAAUCAGAGUCAUUCCAUCAGACUCAUCAGUACGCCUGUAGGAAUGAUAUUAACAACAGAGCAAGCCUCUGCAUUAGCCUCAUUUUCCCUCACAACACACACACACACACACCCAAGACUCCUGCUCAGUGUCUGACAUGUACAGUACACGUGUUUUGUGUGUUCCAGUGCCGAUAUGUAGUGUUGUCUUUGCUCAGUUUGUGUGCAUGUGUUUGCAUAUUUUGUACCCAAGAUUGCAGCUUUUGGAAUGCAGUGAAAAAAUGGAGAGGUGUUUUAAGGCAUCUGUAGAUGUACAUGCGUGCGUGCGUGCGUGCGUGCGUGUGUGUGUGUGUGUGCGAGCGCACGUGUGCUUGUGCAUGUUGUGUAUUGCAGACUUGCUGCUCCCAAGUCCCUGAGAAUGAGGCCAAUCAGAUCAGACAGACAGUUUAUUUCCAAACACUAGCGUCUGGCCUGUUGCCUCGCACACAUUCCAGUACUUGUAGACAGACUUUCAGAAGCAGGAAUUAAAAGGCAUUGGAGUUGUUAAAACAUGACAUUCCCAAAAAAGGGCUGCUGGAGCCCAGAGACUACCCAGAAACAUCCCACAUGACUCAACACUGCAGGAAUGACAGCACCGCCAGGGUCGCUGAUGAAGGUCCUCAUGUGGAUAUGGUCUCUUUACCCUACUCUCUCUAUUCCCGUCCCUCUGAUGUCAGGGAUGUUUCCAAAAUACUUGAUGAUGCUGGACUAAAAUUCCUGAUUGGGCCUGUCUUGAAUGGGCUUCGGUAUCAAGAGGGAUCACAUGUUGCUUUUUACAAAGCCAAGCUGUAGGCCUCUGUUGAUCAUACAGGUAAACUCUGUAUACUGUAAACAUAUGUCACAUGUUGAAAUCAGGCAGACAUACAGCGUGCCUCAUAUAGACUGUGUUACAUGCUGUCAUCUGCCUCUCAUAAGCAAAUCAGGUACAUUAUAAUGUAUCGGUUAUAAUAACAUGGCUAUUAUAUAGUAAAUUUGAUAUAGUUUAUUGUCAUCUGAUUGGACUAAAGAAUACAGCACAACAGCUCAGAGACUAUGGAGGUAGUCUUAAAUAGCAGAGAACACUUGGAAGAAAUGAAUCUACCAUAAAGCAGAGGAGAGGAGCCAAGUGCAGGUGAAGAUGAAGGAGGGGGAGAUAUCACUGAUGCAGCAAAAACUUCAGACUCAGAUCCUGGGUUUUUGUCUAGCUUGCACCUUGACCCUGUUGAUAUUUGUGUAUCUGCUUACAUGAACCAAUUGGAGGGCUCUGCUGGUGUGUAUUGCUUUAUACCUGAAGAAACUCAAAGUGGAAUGGGAGAGCAGAGCUGCAUGUAAAAUACAACAUAAAUCCCCCAAACCAGAACAGAACAAACACCAGAAGACUAGUUUACAGACAGAAAUGUAAAGAAAAGUUAGCAAACAUCAUAAAAUCAUAACAGUAGGCCUAAAGCAUAUUUACCAUCCUGACAACACUACUGCCUGUGCACUUGACAUGCAGAAAUGCUCCAAAACGUUAGAUGUAGGCGAUAAAAUUCACAGUAAUCCUUUUUCCAAAUCAUGCAAUAAAUGUUAAAACUCAAAACAGGAUGCAACAUCAUAAGAGCAGAUCAAUUCCCUGCUCUGAAUAGUUAUGACAUGAAUUUUACAGGUGUUUGGCUGUAAUCUUGUAAUUGUACAGUCCCACUCUGAUCAUUUUCUUUUUUACUACUUGAAGUGUUCUCAGUGGUCUUUAAGUUGUGAUUAUGAAGUUUUUCUGCUAACACACACGUUUGUUCUGCAAUCGUCCAUUCUAUUAUCCAAGUCUGGCUUGCAUAGCGGGGCUCUGGGGGUGGAGCUUGAAAUUGUGAUGUAGGAAAUCCCACUAUGUCUGAACCUGUCAUUUGGGUCUGCCAGAGAUUCACAGCGAUUUGAAUAAGAAUUACUCAGAAAUGCAAUUUCACACUUAGUUUUCUCAUUAUAUGUCUUGUAGCAUCAGAAAAAUGCCAUAUAAACAUGUAGACAACAAGAAAAACAUGUUUUUCAUUGGAAUGGGUCUUUAAAGACAAUAAAUAAUGUUUAAGUACUGAUAAAAGAAAAAAAACAAAUGGAACAACUUAGAAUAAAAUGAGUUUUUAUACAUGAAAACUGAAGCUUUGUACUUUCUCUUGGUGCUUUUAUUGAAUACAUACUCAUAGGACAGAUUAGUAGUAUAAUGAGAUAAUGCUUUUUUGUGUUUGGUGAGUGGUCACAUUAAAUGGCGCUAGGAAUUAUAGUAUAAAAAUCAUCAAUCUUGUUGCUGAUGGUCUUGUUUGCUUUUGUUUAUCAUGAAAAAGCAUCAAUAUAUAUUCCAGUCAAUGUCAUAAAUGAGAAAAAACAACAACAACCUCACAGGCACUUUAAUAAGUUUCAGACUAUAAAACUUGAAAAUUGAGAAUCAUAAUGCUUUAUAGUAGCUUCCCAUGUAAAGGGGGUUUGAGUGAGGGACCUUUUAACCAGAAUCUGGGCAAAGACAGCACUUGAUACCCCCAUUUAUUGCACCUUUAAAAUGAUGUAUUACUUGGUUGGAGGUGCUCUUAACACUUAUGAUUAGAAUUCUUUAUUUAGAUUGACUAAUGGUCUUGGUCAGAGUCACCCCAGUAUUUCAAAAAGUGACAACCCAAAUACUUUAUAAUGGAGAUAACCAGCAGUAAAGAGACUGACUCAGAAGGAAUACAGUGAGACCAACUGAUCUUAUCGUCUCCUUUCUCUUUGUCUAUUACCAAGCUGUAUUCAGCAUGUGGCUCUCAUUUGGGUAAUAUCUCCUGAUUUACUGUGUUUUAAGUGCAUAAGGUCACAGCAAUAUGGAGGGCUUUUUGUUUGUGUCAAACUGUGGCCUAGUGGCAUUGUGGGCCUGCUGCCAGUCUAAGUCCAACUGAAAACCUGCUCUGAAUACUUCAUUUGUUGAUUGAUUAUUUUUUCUUGGUCCUGCACUGUAAAUAUUUUUGCCACUAUUUAAUGCUGUUUUGGGGAAUUUGUUGCGAAUAAAAAAAAACACCACACUGGAGUUCUUGACUAAGCCAUCAUUUUGUCCAAAAUGAACCUGUGACUCUCAACUCUCACUGUUUAACUACAUUUGUUGAAAAUGUAUGAAUCUGGUCGUCAGAGAUUAUGCAUGAUGAAACAACAUUAGAUCAGAAAGAGUGAAAGUGUACUGCAUAUCUGUGUGGUUUCUGAAUAUAUAGGAUCAUUUUCAAACCAUAUGGUAUUUGUUUUUAAACUAAAUACUGCUUUAAACUGCAGCAGGAGGACAUAUGUGAUCCUCCUGAACAGGGAGUGAUCACAUUCAAAUUCAAAGCUGCAAAAUAUCAGCUUUUAUAUCAGCUUUUUAAAAGUGUGGGACACAUGCAAUGACACACACACACUCACACUAAAUCAGAGGAAUGUUGUAUGUUUUGUGAGUGGGAGUGGGGUCAAACAUCUCUAUCAGGGAGCGUGUUAAUGUAUUCAUCUCCUAUAGAGGCUGACUCAGGCGCAGAUCUGUUUAACACUGGGUCAAUUCAUCUUGCUAGCAGAGGGGCAUGCAAAAAUGAGGGCUUUGACGUAACUGAAGUGAUCAUUUUAGAGUGUCACAGAGGUCGAUCAACUUCCAGUUAUGUCCGCUGUCUCCUUAAGAGGCAGAGUUUAGUGGAAGUACCAUGAUAGGCAGAAGCAUGAGAUGGCUAUUAUCCAAACUGAUCAUAUCUGCUCCCCUAUGCAGGCCAAGGCAGACAGACAGGAUGAAAAAUGAAUGGAUGCAUCAAAGACUCAGAUAUUUUGACUUCACUUCAUUAGAGGUGCUGCAAAAAUUUGGAUCCUUCAAUUCCCAUGAUACAUUAAUUUAUUAAGCAAGGAGAGACAUUGAAAAUAAAUUACAACCAUAAUGAAGAGGUGUAUGGUGCAUAUGUAUGGUGCAUGUUUACACCAAACUGUGGCAUUGAAUUAAGGGGAAAGUUUAACAAUGACCCUUUGGUACAAAACUUUUUCAAUCAUCUUCCUCCAAUCCUCUGAUCCUAUCUAUAUUUCAGCAUCAGACCAAUUAGACUGUGCUAAAAGUCUGAUUAAACUAUGAAUCCAUUGAAUAAUUAAACCGUUUUCAUAUGAUUCCAUUAAAAAUAGUGAGUUUCAAAGGGCUGCACAGGUCCAGAUAUGCUUUAUUCUGUCUCCUACCCACAGUUUCACAGGACCCCAAAGGCCUUGUACAGUAUGUAUUAGAGGUAAACAUUAAAAUAUUCAUGUACCAAUUAAAUCUGUAGAAAUUAAUCUAAUAAAUAUAACCUGACAAAGCAAUUACGGGCUCUUAAACACCAGGAGUUAUUAUGAGGAUAAAUCCUGCAGGGCUUUGGUGGCGUGCUGAUUGCUCCAAUGGCACAGAGAGGUGAAAAGGAGAAUUAGUACGAGAAAGUUUUAAAUUAAGUGUUUUUUUUAUUAAUUUAAGUACAAGCAGAUUAAAAAAUUACAGUGGAAAAAAUACAAAGAAGAUUUUGCUUUUUAUUGUGUGUGGUGUGUGGUGUUUUAAGUGAAAUAAUAAUCUUUUUUAGUGACCCUUUUAACCUCAGUUCAUCAGGAACUUAAGCAGAAAAGAUUCAAUCAUUGAUGACAUGCUCUUAAAAUUUAUGCAUGGGCUGUAAUUGAACAAUAUGACUUCAAGAUGAAUUCAACAUUGUUGAAGAAAAAAUGUCAUUAUCUGAAAAGAAAAAACGGAGUUUGGGAUCUAUUUUGUGUCUACCUAGACAAGAAUAAUUUGAGCUAUGAGUUCCUGUUUUUUCGUUUGUUUGUCUUUUGUUUUUAAAGGGAAAGUUCACGUAAAUCAUUCCCACAUUGAUCUUAGUGGGGUCAUUGUAGUCCUUGGAUCAUGUUGUGUGAUCAUAUUAUUGAAUGCUGUUGGACUGGGAUGGCUGUGCAGGUUUGAAUUUAUCCACACCUAAGAGCGAGCUUGAAAACUGCAGUUAGCUUAGUAGCAGGUGAGGAGGUUAGAAAAUAUGUUAUGGGAAGUAUUUACAUCCUGUUUAGCACAAGGAAGAGUUUUGUAUGAGCAAAUAGUUGGUUAUUUUUAUCCUGUUUAUUUUCUGUUUCAGCUUAAUAUUUGUAUUUUGUAUUUGUAUUUGUUUAUUUACAGAUUAAAAACAAUAUAGCACCAAGAAUCUGGGCACCAUCUUUGUCUAACACAUAACCUUUGACCAGCAUAUGACUAAGUUUGUUCAGUCCUCUUUCCUGAAGCUGAAAACAUCUCUAAAACCAGAUCAAAGCACUCCUCUGUAGAUGUUAAACUGUUAUUUUAAAAUUUCACCCAUCUAGAUUAUCAUGAUUCGCAUUACAUACUUCAGCUGAUCAACAACAAACCAUGCAGUGUGUUCAAAAUGCAGCUGCCAGUUAAUGAACUCAAAUCAGCUGUCAGUCCAGUGUCCAGUAAAAGUACAUGAAUAACCCUGACAUGUGAGGAAACAAACUCCGACAAAAGUAUCUUUGUUGUCAAAUGUGCCCUCUUAUUCCCUCUCAGCGAUCUAAACCUGAGGUCUGUAUUUGCCUCCAUAUUUUACAGGCUUAUUCCCACCAUGUCUCAAAGUUAUAUUGUUAAUAUGAAAAGCCCAUAAAAGUGCCCCUCAUGCCCAGAGACCCGGCGUCUUGCCUGAGCUCUGAGGCAGUGUAAUUGCUCCAGGGCCCCCCUCCUCGAACCCCAGAUCCGUCUUUACAGCUUGCAUUAGCAUACAUAAUACUGCUCUGUGGACUCAAAGAGUCAUGCCAAUUGAAACGCAAUCAUUCUCACAGCAGAGGGCUGCCAUCACGACUUUAAUUGAGUGUGAGAGCGUUUGUGUGUGUAUGUGCAUGACUCUGUACCAUGAGACAGGGGAUAAUUGCUCCUGCAAUACAACAUAGCAAUAUGUUGUUAAUUCAAUGAUUGGGCUUGAUUGCUUUUGUCUAGCUGUGUCCCACGGGCUGGCUCAUGUGUGUUUGUGGUGUUUGUCUGAAAACAGAAGGUGGAGAUGAUAACUGCGGGCAACAUCCCCCUCUGACUGUCUGUGCCGUGUCAGUUUCAGCACAUACAUACACAGAGACACAGAAUAUUAAUCUAAAAUGCAUGUUAAAAAAAAAAAAAAACAUGAUACAAAACUUAAGAUGCCUCACUUUUUGGUGACUAUCAACAGCAAUUAUCAUUUUGGUAAAAUUAUUGCGAAAUUUGAAAAUGAGAAGUCAGGAUGUUGCUGAAAUUGUCAACAAAGCGAUGUCCCUGUGUUUUAUUUCUCUUACUGCUGCAUGAGUAUAAAGAGCCGUUCGGAUAAAGAUCACAGAGAGUACAGCACCACAGCAUGUACUGUAUAUUGUACUUUAUAUGUAGAAAUGCCUGUGCCAGGCUCUUGACCUCAACCUUACUCUUACCCUAAUGUACAACUUUGCCAUAAUUACUCUAUAAACCUCUCUCCAUAUUCACAUGCAUGGUUAAAAUGCACCUCUCAUAUUCCAACACUCCUUACAGCACACUCAAACAACAAAGAAAUCUGAAUGUCCAGUGAACACAACAGAACAUUGAUUUCCAUGCAAAGUGGACUAAGCAAAUAGCUGUUUAAUGAAGAUCAGUGUUAGUGCGUGUGCCAGCUAAUUUCUCUCCAUGUCUGCUAAAGCCUUCAGGGGCUGAGAGGUGGAAUCAUGAGAGUGUGUAUUGAUGGUCCUGGUUACUAAUUAGCCAAACAGAGACAGAUGCCAUUAAUCUUGAAGCCUAGUUGUAGACUGUUGAAGUCGUGGGCAAACUUGGUACGAACUUAGUGCUUGGGCAAGAGAGGCACUCGGGGUUAAUCUGUGGUUAUCCCCAACAACCUAGUUUACUGUCUUUUGUCAUCACUGCUGCUUCUCAGAGUGUGGCUGUGAUUGAUAUGGAAGUGAGCUGAAAACAAUACUGUGGCACUGUUGUUAAAUAGUAUGCUUCAAGUUACACACCACAUUCACCCACUAAUGGCAGAUGCUACAACAAGCUGGAAUUGAACUCACACCACCCAAUUUAGAAGCAACCCGCUGAAUCACUGAGCCGCAGCUCCCUGUCUGGACUCAACUGUUAUUUUAAUAUAGUACAUUUUUAUUCUUGUCUUUGUAUUUCAAUGGAUGUAUGCAGGUAAAUGCCACCACGAUUUUGCUCUGUGAAUACUGCAAACUAAAGUUUUAUAUAUAUAUAUUUUUUUUGGUUGUUUGUUUGUUUAGAAUUUAAUGCAUACAUUUAUUUUUAUCAAUAAUUCAAGAGCACUUGUAGAAAACAAAGUCAGGUCAAUACAAACAAGGCAUUUGUUAGUGUGGACUGAAACCAGAUCUUACAAAGUGUAAAGACAGCGCUAGUGUCCUUUGAUAGGGCAGACCAGAGCAGUGUUUUAAUCCACUGCUCUGGGGCAGACCACACAGAACAAAGCAGCACCUGAUGAUGUGAUCUCUUAUAAGACACUGACACCUUCAGGCUUUGUGUUGUCAUUGCAUUUUAGUUUCAGAAAGUUUCUCCAUAGAUCAGUCUCAAAAAGAAAGGCUUUGCCUUUAGGACAGUAAAAACAGAAAGUUGUUGAAACUUUUUUGAUUUUUGUAACUGGCAUAUUUGCUUUAGAUUAAUGAACUCUCCUUUCUCCAAAUAAUGGCCGAGAUCUCACCAGUGCUGGACAAUUUUUAAAUGCAAGACCAUGCUUUGCUCCUAUGUUAGAAUACAGCCCUUCUGAAUUUGAAGACUUGGAGGGACAAAAAUUUAACAAUAAUCAGACACGGUUUCAAAGAUGACAUCAUUAUGACUCCAUUAUAAUAGGAUAUGUUUAUUUUAGGGCCUGACCGAUAAGGAUUUUUUUGGGACCAAUGCCGAUACUGAUUAUGGGGGGGGGGGUCUGAUUAUCGGUUAAUCCGCCGAUUUUUUAAAUGUCUCAGCUUUGAAAUCUCUCUCUGCGUUAACUAAAAUGAGCAGGUCAGUUCUCUCCUCCUC